AUACAGAGGGUGCAAGCGUUAAUCGGAUUUACUGGGCGUAAAGCGCGCGUAGGUGGCCAAUUAAGUCAAAUGUGAAAUCCCCGAGCUUAACUUGGGAAUUGCAUUCGAUACUGGUUGGCUAGAGUAUGGGAGAGGAUGGUAGAAUUCCAGGUGUAGCGGUGAAAUGCGUAGAGAUCUGGAGGAAUACCGAUGGCGAAGGCAGCCAGCUGGCCUAAUACUGACACUGAGGUGCGAAAGCAUGGGGAGCAAACAGGAUUAGAUCCCCUGGUAGUCCAUGCCGUAAACGAUGUCUACUAGCCGUUGGGGCCUUUGAGGCUUUAGUGGCGCAGCUAACGCGAUAAGUAGACCGCCUGGGGAGUACGGUCGCAAGACUAAAACUCAAAUGAAUUGACGGGG
rnacentral:rRNA from 1 species